ensembl:lncRNA
CAGGAAUCCUGCAGAGGAGGAGGAGGAGAAAGGACAGUAGGAGCCAGCGUCGUCAAGGACUCUAUGGGAAUGCUCACACAAUCAACUAACCUGAGCCCCUAGGGGCUUACAGGGACUAUAGUGACAGACAGCUGCUCCACCCACUCUGUCCACAAGUGACCUUCCUCCUCACGUAUGCAACCACAACUAAGAAGUGGGCAUCAGAUCCAUUGGAACUGCAGUUACAAGUACUGGGAAUGACCCUGUGGGUGACGAGAAUCAAAUCCUGUUCCUCUGGGACAGCCGCCAGUACUCAAAACCACUGAGUCAUCUCUCCAUCUCUAAAUAUUUAUACUCUUUAAGAACUUUGAGUUCAGCAAAUACUUCUCAUAUUAAAUACAAAAUAUUAUUUGCCUAGUCCUUUUAGGACACUGGCACAGAAAAGAAAAUCUACACAGUAGGUAGCUUGAAAGAGUAGAUAUUUAUUUAUAUUGGGGGCUAGUAAAUGCAAGAUGAGGGUCCCAGUAGAUUUAGUUUCUGGUGAGGGCACUUUCUGGUCCAUAAACAACCCUCUUCUCCAUGUUCCCACAUGACAGGAGAGAACAUGGUGUUCCUGUGUCUGUGUCUUCCAUGAGGAAGUGAAUCUCACUUUUGAGGGCUCCACACUUAUGACCUAAUAACCUCCUAGAAUAUCAGAAAUUCCAUUUCAGCAUAUGACUUUGGUGUAUGUUACACAUACACUCUAUAAGACUCAGAAAAGAAAUUCAUGGUGCAUUAUAAAUGAUGAGAUGAUGGGGCUGAAGAAAUAGCUCAGUAGCUAUGAGCAAUGGCUCCUCUUCCAGAGGUUCCAAGUUCAAUUCCCAGCAACCACAUGGUGGCUCAAAACUGGGUGUGCAUGAAGAUAGGUACUCAAAAACACAAAAUAAAUAUUUAAAAAGUGAGUCAAUAAAAAAGCAUUUAGAAAUAAAUGAGAUGAAAUAAACCCUCCCAAAAACCCUUAUUCCCUAAGACACUCUACAUCAUAGUGUUUAAAAACAGUACUUGAAGAAACUACAAUCUGUAUUAUUAAAAUCUGAUACUAAUGGGAAAUCAUUGUUAAAUCUCUGAGAAGGUAUAAGAAAAGAUCUAAGAGCUUGGUCAGAAUAUGUGAAGGAUUUUAUCUAGUCAACAAGUCUGAUUUAAACUAUUAGAAAAGAAAGUUGACUAAGGGGGAGAUUCUGGUAGUAAGUGAACAAGUGAAAGACACUGAGUGUCACUUCCAUAGUAAAGUGCAAAUCCAACCACUGCCCAUGGACUAGAAUAGCUGAAACAAGACAGUGCCAAGUGCUGGCAUGCAGAUGGAGCAGCUCUCACACUGCAGGGAGAAUGCACCUGGUUAACUCUGCAGGGAGUCUGGCAGUUUCCUCUGAAGCUAAUCCAGUCUCACAUUUAUCACUGGACUCACAUCAAUAUUUUCUCAAGAGAACUGGAAACAUACCACAGAAAGAAUUUCAGAUACUCAUUAACCAUUGAUGGAGUGUGUGCCCAUAAAUCCACCCUAUUUGAAAGCCACAGUUAAUCCUCCCAGCCUAUGAAAGAACACUGGUGGGUCUGCCCUACCUCAGAUGUGCUCUGAACUACAUCUGCUUACAGUAGGGAAAUCAUGGUCUAAAGACCACUUUGAUGUACAGCAUUGAGGAACACAUUGAGGGAGGGAUCACUGCCCCUGCCAGCAUCUAGGAAGAGUCUCACGGUGCCUUCUGCUAGCCAAGAAAGAGGACAAAAUUUGAAUAUGGCUUUGUGAUGGUUCAUCGUCAGUGUCAACUUGACUUCAUUUAGAAUUGCCUGGGAAACACACUUCUAGGUGUGUGGUGUAUGUAGGAGGGCGUUUCCACAGAGGUUUGACUGAGGAGGCACAAUCAGAAUGUGGGCACUAACAUUAUAUGGUCUGUGGUCUUGGAAGAGCA